rnacentral:piRNA from 1 species
UGCCUGAGGCAAGAGAAUUCUGCCCAUAA